CCCCCGCCCCGCCCGGGGGCCGCAGGGGUUCUCGGCGCGCCGACGGCCGGGGCGGCGGCGGACGGACGGGCUGGACGGACGGACGGCGGCUGAUCGCCCCGCGGUCUUCAUGGAGCACCUGCCAGGUGCCUUUCAGUGUCCUGGGGAUAAAGCAGUGACCGGGAUGAUGUCCUCCACCCACAGAGAGCUCGCUUUCGGGUGGUAGACGCAGACGGGAGACGAUUGGAAGCUCACUGUGGCGUCGCCUGCUGGCCGCGCGUGCGGAAGUCCAGAAAGCUGGUGUGGACUGGGGGCCUCCCAGGAGAGGGGACUGUUCAUCUCGAGGUGGCACCUGGCCGGCCGUGGGACCAUGACGCUGCUCUGGGAGCCCGUGGAAGCCUGGCUAGUGCUGGCCCUGGCCUUGGCGCUGGCCCUGGGCCCCAGUGUGGGUGUAGCUGCCCCGAGGCAGGACUGCACGGGUGUGGAGUGCCCGCCGCUGGAGCACUGCAUCGAGGAGGCGCUGGAGCCGGGCGGUGCCUGUGAC
rnacentral:lncRNA from 1 species